rnacentral:lncRNA from 1 species
GGCCACUCGUGGCAGACGUAACCACAGAUACUGAAGUCGCCCUGUGAGCAGCUCUAGCCUUGCUCUUUGUCCUGCCCACCCAGGGACCUAGAGAAACGCAUCUCUGCCUCUAGUAACAGACUGACUGACUUCAGUUCCAACUGUGAAUGCUGAAUGCAGCCUUAGCUGUGAACCCUGAAGUGGCCCAAAGACUUGGUUCCAGCCUUGCUCUACCCAGGUCCCAGGGUCAGUCCUGUCCACACGGGGAUUCAGGAGAAACCAUGCCCAUUUAUGACUCCAGUAACAGGCCUACCAACUCAGACCUGGCAACAGCCCCAUGCCCUGGCUCCAGCCCCACUUAAAUGUGAUCCCAGAAGCAGUUCCA